UUGUGAUUCCAUUUGAGGUGUCACACUUGGGGCACUAGGCACUCUAGCUUCAUGAAGACUUUCUUCUCCAAAGAGGUAUGUAUUCUAUCUUGCUAUAGUCAUUGUUUUGUAUGCUAGAUUAGGAUAAUACCUUGGAAGUUCUUAUUUGCAUGUAUAAUAGAGAAAACAUAGAUCCAAGGUAUUUAGGGUUGCAUGUACACUUAGGAGUGUUAGAAUGCUCAAAACCCAACAGUGGUAUCAGAGCCUAGGCUUGUUUUCUUGUUAUACCUGCAAUAGAAGCUGAAAAAACGAAUCUGGUGCUGUCUGGCCAUCAGACUCGGCGAGUCCAUCAGGAGACUCGACGAGUCCAUGCCUAAAAAGUGAUGAAUUCGAUCCAACUCGCCGAGUUUGUUCAUGCACUCGACGAGUUGGACCCCCAGACAGCAUAUUUUCGAGUUUUUUGGCUAGAAAUGGACUAGGAACAUUACCCUAAGUUGUUUUUGAUCUUAUAAACUUGUUUUUGAUGUGGUAAUGUUCAUGCUAAUCCAUUUUCAAAGAUAAUUGUCAAUAGAUUCAUGUUUUGUAUUAGUUUAAGGUUUAGACUAAUUACAUGAAAAAGUUUGAUUUGAAUUAUCUUGUUCUUAUGAGUUGCUUAGAUUAAUAGAAAUGUUGAGUGAAAUAGUUGUUUUCAAUCCAUUUUAAUCUAAGAGUUGAGUAUAAAAUGUGUUUGUGUAACUUGUCCUCAAGUUACAUGAAGAGUCACAUUAAAGACUCAUAAAAUUCAUAAGAGUUGGCAAUGGUUACAAAAUGAAGAGUCUUGUGUCAUUGAAUAAUUUUUAUGACUCCAUAACUUGUCCUCAAGUUAUGGAAGUUCAAGAGUCACUUCAUUAAAGAAAAAUAUGUAACCAUAAUUAAAUCCAUAAGUUAUAAAAUAAAGAAAAAGUUAGUUCUUUUAUUAGUUUAAAGUCUUCCAUAACUUGUCCUCAAGUUAUGGAACUUGAAGAGUUUUUGGAUUAAAACUACUUUAAACACAUAAGUUAUGGAAUUAAUUAGUUUUGAAUAGUUUCAAAACUUGCCCUCAAGUUUUGGAAUUUGAAAAGUUUUCAAGUAUGAAUACUUUAAUUCCAAGUUAGCCCUUAGAAUUUUAAAAGUUAAAAUUCAACCCUUAUACUUUAUAAUAUUAUAAGUUAAUAAUAUAUAUAUGUAUAAGAGUAAAGUCAGUCUUACCGCUAGUACGCCUCAUUCACGAAGCCGGUCUAUAAGGUGGGUAUAAGGUUGUUGCCUAUAAAAUGGCAACUUAAUGGGUGUCCACUCUCACCCACCGCUUGCUUGACUGGUGGAGGGUCGUUAGCCGAACGGGUUUGACAGGACUAGAAUUCUCCCUUCAUUAAAAGUAUUAAUGAUAAUACUAAGUAACUAAACUCUUAAUAAUACCCAAUCUUAGUUACUUAGGAAAAAUGUGAAUAAGGUGCUAAUCCAUGAAAUUACACUUUACACUUUGUCUAAGUCGUUAGUGGAGCGUGUGUGGUUAACCGGCACACUAACUUGGACUUAACAAGGUAGGUAAAGGGUGACUUAAUAUUUAUCAUAGUAUCGAUGGAGCGUGUGUGGUUAACCGGCACAUCGAUUGAGGGGUAAUUUAUUAAGGGUACCAAGUGAUUUGCAUGGUUACUUCACACCUUGUUUUGUGAUCCUCGGCAUCCCAGUCACAAAACCUGAAGGGCACACUCGAGAUUGAAACAUGCCUUUGAAAAGUUCAAUGAAUCUCAAAGAUCUAGGAGUUUCAAAACCAAUUAAAACCUAAUAAUACAUUUCGUUUAUCUUGGUGGAAAUUGGUGAAUCGUCAUUCACCUACCUUCAAAUAUUUUAUAGCUUGGAUUACGGCAUACCUCUUCUAAGUUAUAAAAUAGUUUGUUGGGUCCUAGCCUUAAUAUUUCAUAUUGGGUGUCAUAUUAAGGACUUUAAAUCAACUAUCUUGAAUAUCUCCCAAAAGAUGUCUGGUUUAGACACCUAUGAUCUUCCCAAAUCUCUUGAAACAAGGUUUCCUAAUGAAGAUGAUGUCCCAUGGAUAUCAUACUUCUUCACCUCUUCAAAUUAUUCUCCCUAACCCACAAGUUCUUGAAAAGUUUAAGGUCACUCAGGCCCUAUUGGCAAGGCAAGGUCUAGGUGUGGUCACAUCUUGGAGAUGUAGUCACAUAUUGACAAGCCGGGAGAGUUGGGUGUCAAAGUCUUGAGAAAGUUGGUGGUUCAACCACUUUCUAAGUCACAUAGUGAGUUCCUUUGGGACACCUAUGAAACAGACUAUGACAAGACCCUUAAUGAUCUUAUCUAUUUGCUAAGAUCAACUUCCUAAAACUUUAUGGACAUUGACAAUGAUGACAUUGGAUAUCCAGUAAAGCAUUCUCUUCCCAAUGGAAAGGGAUCGGCCAUAGUCAACUCGGUUGACCAAAUGGUAAAGAGAAAAGCUAAGUCUGUGAUAGUCCCGUGUACCAUUAUCAAAGGGUCCAUAUGUUUAUAUUGCCAAAGGAAGGGGCAUUGGUUGCGAAGCUGCCAAAUUUACCUAAGGAUGUUAAAGUCAAUAAGUUUGACUCUACUUCAGGUAAAGUCCACUAUCUAACUCUGUUAAGUUUCUAUUCUGAGAUUCUUGAUACAUGAUGUGACUGGGUCACAUGGUGAUGUUUUAAGAAUCAAAGAAAAGUGAAGAAACUUAAAGAAAGAAUAUGCUGAAUCUGAUGGCGUAGAUGGAUUUCUAUCGCAUAGUUUGAAGAUCGGAUUCUUGAGCUACUUCUUAGGAGUUAUGAGAUAUUGCUUAGGAAUAGAUAACAACAAGUUUUCAUAUGGAUUGUAAGGAUAAGUUUUUCCGCAAAGUUUUAAAAUAAAAGAAAAUUUUUUAUUUUAUUUAUUUUAAAAUAUCCUUACAAUGGCAUUUGAGGAAAAAUUGUUGCUUAUAUGAUUCCAUUAAGAGCAAGAGUGGAAAUAUGAAAUUGAUUCUUUCAUUUGUGGUAAUGUCUAAAUUUACCAAAUAAGGAAAGAUUCUCAUCACCCAAGUUUCAAUUGGACCGGAACUUGGAAUCAUGCAAGUUGUAUAGCAUGAUGAAUGAGAACUUUCAAGUUUUGGAAAAUUAAGACUAAUUACUUGUUCACAUGGAUGUGUGAGUCAAGUAAAGGACUUAGGGAUCGAGUACACAUUCUUGUGCACUGAUUAAGUCCACCACUAAAGAUCGAUAAGAAGAAUCAAAUAAGGCAGAAGGAUAAAAGUUUCUCAAAUCUGAAAAGAUGGGAGAGUACUUUAGUAUCAGUUUUGUGAUCAUCUUAAUGAUUAAGAAACCAUAUCAAAAUUAGUUCUCUAAGGAAAUCUUAGUGCAUUCUUAUGACUAAGAAGAGGAACUUGAAUUGUUGAAAUGGUUAAAUCAAGAAGAUGAGUCAUACUUCGUUCCAAUACAAGUCUUAGAGUCAUACUCCAAGAUUGUCAUUUGAGUGACAUGUCUUAAAGAAGGUUUAAAACACUUGUCAAAUGUAAGAGUAAAAGUUUUCUACUCUUGUACAUUUGAAAUUGGUAAGUUGUGAUGUUUUGGAUAAAACAAAGACCAACUUAGGCCAAUUGGGUAAAGUGUUUUUCUUGAUUAGAAUCCGCACUAUCUCUUGGAUGUUUGACAAGGGAGUCUUAUAUGUCAAGAGGACAGUGGGAGUCUUAAAGGUCUUGAAAGUCUCAAGAAAUAAUCAAGAAUAAAACCUAAAGUUCUUCACUAGCACACGACUUGAGGUUUAUAACCUAUCGUGUUGACAUAUCUGUGCCCAUUCCAGUUAAAGUUGGCUUUGCAUAUGAGUUCUUAGAGUUCUCAGUUUGUUGCAUAACAACUUGGAAGCAAUGGCAGGCCCUUGAGCUGCCAGGUGGCAAGAAGUUAAGAUUGAGUUCAAUCCAUAUGGUUUUGGAUUUGUCAUUAUCUUUGUCUUGUGAUUAUGGUUUGACAAAUUCAUAUGGGUAGGAACUCAUACACCAUAUAAAUCUAAGUGUCAUAAGGUUUCUCUCCGAUUCAUGAAAAUGAUGGUGAGGAAACGCUUUCACUAAGUAGAUUUUACGAAGAUAUCAAUUGUGUUAUUUGCAUUUUCAAAAGUCGUUAGUGGAGCGCGUGUGGUUAACCGGCACACUAACAUGGACUUGUGAGAAAUGGCAAAUGCCUAAGCAAUUGAGACCAUGAUUACGGUAUCCCUUUUCAUGGUUCUUGAAAUUGCUUAGACACACAGGUGAGCUAUCUACGGAAAGGGUGUAUGAAUCUAAAUUUCAGACUGUCCAGCUGAUUUCUGAGUACAUGUCAAAGCUAGUGGGAGCAUAAGUGUUAUGCUAAUAAUCAUCAUGUUAGUGGGAGCAUGAUAAUUAUGAUAAGUAUUGCAAGUUAGCAAUGUUAAUUAUAGAAAACAAAAGUUUCAAUUGGGAAAAAGUUGUUUUGCUAUAAUUAAGGGAGAGGAAAUUAUGCUUCAUCUCAAAUCUAUAAGCUUAGAUCGUGAGGUUUUAAUCAUUUAGUCAAGGAUAUAUAUGAAUUUCAUGUUGGAAUGGCUCAACAUAAGGAAAUUCUGUAUAUGGGUCCAUUAUUUGCGUUCUAAAAUUCGAUUAUGAUUACGGCAUCCCUUUUCAUAAUCUGAAUUAUGAGAACUUGGCAAAUUGAAAUGGAAAUAUUAUAGCAAAAGACUGGUUUAGUCUUUAUGUAAGACAUCAUGAAUCGUGUCCCAUAUGCUUCGGAUAUAGGAUCGAUUACAUGUGCUAUAUUCAUCCGUUCUAAAAUUUUCCAAAUGCCUGGGGCAUUAAGAAGGGAAAAGGUUUAGAACUGGAUAUGACUAAAAGGAUUAAACAAUUGUCGAGGACAAUCUAAGGUUUACCAAAGAUUGGUUACUCAAGGACAAUUGGAAGUAUAGUGAUAAUUCUGGAAGGACCAUAUUGACAUAAUCUGUAAGGAGGCAACUCUUGUUCAGAAGUGAUAGUCAAAAUGGAAUCUGGAAAUGUUUCAAAGUUAGAAUUUUCAAUCUGUGUAAGAUUAAGGAAACUUAAUGCAAGAAGGAUAUUUCCAAGGAGUUGAUCUCCUUUGGAAUACUCUGUAAUGAUUGUUGCCAAGUCUUUGUGACUUUGUGCAUAAUCAUUACAAGAGGAUCAAUGCAUAUAAGUUUAGAAUCUAACAGAUUUCAGUAAAUGGCAUGAAUUUGGAAUUCUUGCAUUUGCAGUAAGGAUUUGGGAGUGUGAAAAGAGAAUCAUUGAAGUUAUGUUCAAUUGAUCUAGUUCACAAAGUAAAGAUCAUAGACAAACAUAGUAUGCAUACUUGGUGUGUGGCAUGACUAGUGUUUAAGAAAACAUAGUGUACAUGCUUGGAGCAUGGGACAACUAUUGUUUUAAAUUCAAGAAUAAAGUUGAUAGCUGAAACAGUAUACAAUGAAUAAUGUGUAAUCAUAUGGUGAUAAAUAAAAGGUGUUUUAUUUAUGUUCAAAGGGUUGAUACCAUAUUGGAUUCAAUUAUUAUUGUGUUUCAUUUUGCAUGUUUUGACUUCCCGAAUAAACUGGGUUAUUCUUCCGGAAUGACUAAGUUAUUCAAACCAUCCACAGUCGGUCAUAUGUUGGAAGUAGAUAUGAAUUAAGACUGUCAUGGGUUGGCUUGUAGAGGUCUAAGGUGUUGGACAAAGGGCUACAACACUCAUGAGUGCUCAUAAGUUCUGAGUAUUGGAUUCAACCCGCGCUCAUUGGAAUCACUUCAUGGAUUUUAUCACGAGUGAUCAUGAGACGAUAAUAUCUUAUAUUCUUCAAACCUAGAGAUAUGAGUUGUUACUAUGAGUUGAUAGUACAUUGAUUGCACGAAAACGCAUUUGGUAACUCGGUGCUAUAAAACGUGCCUUUGUGUAUGAUUCAACAAGUAGUAGAACAAGCCAUAUGAGUCGAAGUUUAUCCAUUCCUUUUACCUUCGGGAUAAAAGCGAUAUCUGUGGGCCCCUCGAUGAUUUGAUGAUGACAAAUGGAAGUGCUCGGCCGGGCCAGGACUGAUUUGAUUUGUUCAAUUAGUCAGUCGUCAUAAAUCGGAAAUCGGGAAACAACAAAUGGACAGAGAGAAUGAUUAUAAUCCAUGUCUCAGUCCAUAUGAUAUCUAGAAUGGAGGAAUAUAUGAUCCCUUAUCUAAUGGACAAGUCAUUGACAAAGGUCAGAGUUCAUCUACAAGGUCAGAGUUCGACAGAAGCUUUUGAGAGCUACGAUUGCCAGUUGGUUCCUGAAGUCAUACGCAAUAAUAGUUUUAGACUUAUCCAAGUGGGAGACUGUUGGAUUAAUGUCUAAGUCCAUAACUAUAAUUGGUAAGACUUGACCCGACCCGGCAUGGUCCAUUUGGGUUGCAUACCAUCAUGCACUUGGAUAGACUAUAAUGAGAGAAAUAAGACACUUAUGGUUAUUAAUAUAUUAUAAGUUCUAGUAUAUUAAUAAUAAGAAUAAUAAGAUUAUUUAAUUAGUAUUGAUCAAGAAUUAAUCUAGGAUUAAUUAAGUGAUCAAAAGAAGACUAAUUAAAUAUAUGGGUUGGUUGUGUAAAUCAUCCAUACUUGUAUAGUGGGCUAAUGCUCCAUGGAUAAUCAAGUUGGGCUAAAACCCAUAGGAUGGUCCAUGGAUGCUCCAUGGGGUAUUUGUACCCAUGGAUCAAAGGAAAAGNUACUAGAAGGGCUAGCCGAUUUCAUGAAGUGUGGGUUUUCUCUCAAGUCAUUCCAAGUGUUUUGAUGAUUGUGAUUCCAUUUGAGGUGUCACACUUGGGGCACUAGGCACUCUAGCUUCAUGAAGACUUUCUUCUCCAAAUAGGUAUGUAUUCUAUCUUGCUAUAGUCAUUGUUUUGUAUGCUAGAUUAGGAUAAUACCUUGGAAGUUCUUAUUUGCAUGUAUAAUAGAGAAAACAUAGAUCCAAGGUAUUUAGGGUUGCAUGUACACUUAGGAGUGUUAGAAUGCUCAAAACCCAACAGGUUC
rnacentral:lncRNA from 1 species